UUUCAUUAUUUAAGAUAGUCCUAUGUUGUUUUGUUUUUUUGUUCUUUUUUUUAAGAGUCCAGUUUAUGGACUUGGAAUGUUUGGAGCUGGGAAUACCGGGGUAUGGCAGAGCAGUGCAACAGUUCAGGCUUUCCCUCUGGACCUGAAAUGGUUUAAGAUCCUGCUUCUCACCAGCACUUUCUAUUUCAUACCUGAGCAGAGGUUACUUAUUUGGACGGGGAGAUAAGCUCUAACCCUGCUAAUGCUGUCUCCAUAAAAUUUGGGCCAUAUAAACAACCACCUGUGUGUGAAUUACGUCUUUUAUCUUUGCUCAUUGCACUAGAGAUAGUGAAAAUGGAUGUUUACCUCUGCUUUCCAAAGACUUGCAGUUUUUACAGUCUAGAACUGGGCUGAAAGUGCAGCCUGGGGCAUGCCCAUGUUCUGCAAGAAGUCCUGGAGUCCAUGCAUGGUUGCUUAUUUGCUUCUGCUUCCCUCCUCUUCCCUGCAGGAUCUCAGGGAGAGCAGGAGAAGAAAAAAGAAAAUGAAAAAAAUAAGUAAGAGCUCUGCACCCUUCUCCCCCCGAUUGCUUCCUUGGAGAGCACUAGGCAUGAGAAGAAGCACUGUGUGUCCUCUCUUCCUGUAUUUAGCGUAUGAUACAACACUCCACCACUACCACCCCUGGCUUUGCUGUGUGUGGGAGAGUUUUAACCCCUUUGGUUAUGAAAAGCCGUUCCCCUGCACUAUGAAAAGCCAAACUGUAGCCCACUUUAUUUCUGUGGACUAUUUAGACUCCUUGUUUGAAAGCAGCAAUGUGAAUCUGAACAGGGUCUCCCAUCAUUUAUUCGUUCUUAUUUGACUUGUGCUGGCAGAAGAGAGGUCUAUGGAAAUCAGUUCUGUGUGUCUGAACAAAAAUCUCAUGUAGUGCGAGUCUACAUAUGCUGUAUGGCCAGGCUCAGUUGUUAAAAUUACAGCUACAAUUUUACCUAAAAAUGUAGCUUUAUUCUCCUUGAUUGAAAUUUUUGUUUUUUUUCUUAACUCUGUAUAUGGAAAACCCCCAAUACCUGUCUGCAUUGGAAUGUGGUGUUCUUUAGUCUUUCUUCCUGGAGUAAACAAGUUCUUUCAGAUUUUUCUCUUAGGAUGUGCCUUUUAAGUCUUUCAACCUUUUGCUUACUCUGGUUUUGUUUAUGCCUUUCUUAAGGCAUAGCCUGGACAAGGGUCAUCAUGUCCCAGUCAAAGUCUUAACCAGCAGCACCCUGGUAAUACCCUUCCAUAACUGUGGGAGAAUCUCACUUUGUUUUUUGAAGUAGUUAAUGGAAAAACCAUUAACUAGAAAUGUGCCCAGGAGAAACCAGUCCCACGUGACAGGCUUUACCAGUUACACAAGAGAAGCAGCUGGCAAGGAUUUGAAGUUUGCAUUUGCUGCAGUUCUGUGUGUAUAUAUAGUGGUUUCAUUUGCAUACUAUUUUUUUAGGCUUCUUCAAAGGAUGUCAAAAGCUAUAAAAAACUCACCUUAAUUUAUCACAUUCACAGCUUCCCUUUUACCCCCUGGCCUGUUCAAUAGAGAAAUUAGAUUGGAUUUUACAUGAGGCACUCUUGGUAAGUCCAUGCUAGGCACAAUUUUACACAUGUUGUUCCCUAGGUGAACAUUAAUGGAUUCUUUAGUUAUUUUAGCUUCUUUUUUUUUUUUUUUUUUUAAUAUAUAUCAGAACUAGUCCAUUUGACUUACAAUUUGCUGGGUUGUUGUUAACCCCUUCUUUUCAGACACAUGCUAUUAUCUAGUGCUGGAUUGCCAUGUAUCUCCAUGGAGAGAAUAGUCACUGAUUAUCUCAAAUUGCCUCUGCUAGGGCCUGGUAGACUUCAGGGCAAGUUUCAUUGGGUCCUGGCACAUCUUUUUUUUUCUAAAAUAUAUUUCACUUGUUCUUUUCCUGGUCUGAACUAUGCUUCUAUGCAUUUUUCACACUGAAUUUAGACCUAUUUUGAGUUAGUAUUACCAUACUCCUGCCUUUACUUGUUAUGGGCUGUUUCUGCGUUAUUUAAUGACUGCCAUUUCCUUUGUCUUAUUUUAAUUUCUAAUUCUUUUAUCAAACUUGUUUGGUUGUCUUUUAUAUGCCAUGAUAGUUGAAACUGAUUUCACGCCUUAGCAUUUCUGAUUCUGUUAUCUGCAGGCUGACACCAUUUCUUUCUUUUCAUCUCUUCAUCGAUCCUUUUGUCUGUAUUCCCUUUUGAGUUUUUGGUCAUUACAUACUUGUGAAUAAGCCAGGCCACGUAUGUCUGAGGAUGGCUCCUAUGUUUCUUCUAAUCAGAAAAGGAGUGACAGGGGAGAGCCUCCCAGCUGCAGGGGAUGUGUGGCCUUUCUUCUUCUCCUCAUCCCAGACUGCAGUUCGGGAGCCAGCACUUCUUGACCUCAACAGCUGCAGAUCCAGCUGCUGAGUAAAGUGGCACGCAGGUUUUCUCCUUUUGGGGCGUCUCUUCCUCGUGAUGUAUGGUGACAUGUCCCUGUUAGGGAGAGAGGAAUAUACUGUCUGGCAAUAAAACAACUGAAGAAAAAUGUGAUAUGACAUAGCAGGACAAUCUACUAGUGCUAUGUGGUAGUUCUGCUUCUGGCAUAAGACACAAUGGCAGUCCUAAAGGAUGUAUCUGAUAUAACUGUUAACACACAUCUGACAAGAAAAAUGAUGGUGCCUUUUCCCUCCUGUAAAAGGAAUUGCAGGAAAACAUUAUUUGGAGUGUUGCAUGACAGACAAGAGAACAACAAUUAAACAAGCUGCUCAAGAGCCUCUGACUUCAGGACUGCAGUAGUUAUUGUUUCCCUGCUAUGGUAGCUCUAAAGUUGCAGAAAAAUAUGAAGAAAAGAUGAGUUGCUUGGACAGCCUUCCUAGACCUUGUAAUGAAAUACCUGUUCAUUAAAGUGGACACAGAUCAUCUGGCAGGUAGAUGAGAAGAUUGACUAGAACAGUUGACAUUUAGCCAGGCUGCAACAUCAAAUGGAGCCAAGCAAGAGCAGAACUUGGUAUGACACUUGCAUUUAUGUUUGCAUCUGAUUACAGAUACAUUAUCCCUACAUGCUGGCAUGAUGUUUGAGAAGUUUUAUUCCAUGUGGGUUACACAGCAGCAACUAAGAAGGUUAAAUACCCGGGACUGCUAACUCAGGCGGCUGCCUUAUAGGAAUAAUGAAUAAUCUCUGUAAAAUGCAUGGUGAGCCUUGAUGCGUUUGCACAGAUAUCCUAGUAGAAAUAUUAAUUUAGUAUUAGUCUAAAGAAAAAUGAAAUAAAUGCUUAACAACUAAACCAUUCUAGAAGGAGCUAUACCUCAUUUUAGGAAAUGGCAUCCCUUCCCUUCAGCAUAUCAACCAAACCACAUUGUGUUACAUUAUGACCACAGCUUAGUGUCAAUUAUGGUCGGGCAGGUCUGAACACCUGAAGCUUUUACUAGUAUAGUUAUCCCUAUUAUUAUAAAUUAUAUAGGCAGGAAUCACGCAAGCUCUGGUCCUAACACAGUAUAUAUCAUAAGCACAUAGAAAACAGCUCAUCCUGACAGCUGGGUUUGCAGUGAAGUUCUGCUGGUGCUUUUUCUCCAUGCCCAGGAAGCAGCCUGGAUGAGCUGGAGGCCACUGCUCAAGAGUGGGAGCAGCACUGCUUCCCCCCACCAAAUAUCUUCCCCUACUUAAGCUUACCGUACAACUAUUAAGGGCAAGUUUUCUCCUGGGAGUUUUUUUACCUAAAAGCCAAAUGGCUGUAGAUGAAGGACGCUCCCUGCAUGUGUGUGGUGCAGCAGGGCCUUGGGGCAGCUGGAGGGUGUGGCUUUUCUUGGAGGAGGCUGCUCUGAGUCCUCAAUUAGUCACACAUGAUAAAACAGACAGCCAAAACUGCAGCUGAAAUUACUUAAGCCAACUUCAAACUGAAAUACGUGUAGUGGUGAAGGCUAAAUCUGUCUGUGUUUUUGCGGUCAUGAAGACUGAAUUGGUUUUAAGUGUUUUAAGAUAUUUUUCAAGAAUGCUUCAAAUGAGAUAAUUAUAUAUUCUAUUUUUAAAUAGAAAACUAUGUUGUUAAGGCUGUUUAGAAUAAAUCAGUUUCUACAGAAUAGAGAAAAAAAAGACAAUGGAUUUAUUGAAAGGUUGUUUAUACUUGCAGAUGGUAAUGUAGAUAUGGUACCUGGGCUACAAGGGUAUAAUGAUAGCUAUUUUAAAAUGGAUCUUUAUAACAAUAUUUGUUUUUUAAUUUAUAAAACUCUCUUUUCUUAAAUAAAGAAAUUAUGAUAAUAAAUGGUAAUUUUUGUCAAAAUCAUGCCUCCACAUCCAUGUGAAAAGAAGCACUGAGUGUUUUUUCUAGUAUUGCACCACUGCGUUGCUGGUAUCCUUGAAACAAUUGUGGAUGAUUACCAUGUGUUUGGAAAAGGAAGGAUGAGGGCUGCUUGUUCAGUCACACGCACUCUGCACUUUAUAUUGCUAAAUCGGGUCAGCUGGGGGAAGAGAGCCUCAUAUUGUAACACCACCUUGCAAAAUUCUCCUCCUUCACUCAGUUAGGGAAAUCUUCUUUUAUAGUUAAAUGAGAUAUAAUCACUUCAUCACUGUAAUUAUCAUGUCCAGAGUAGAAGAGCAGGAGGGCUGGUGGUGCUCACUUAGCAGGCUGUGUCUCCUACAUAGCAGGUGUUGAAUGGGGCUGUAAAGCAGAGUUUUUUUCCUUAUGGAAAACCUGCCUAGGUGAUGGAUCCAACUGGAUUAAAAAAAAAUUCUAUUAAAAAAAAAAGUAUUCCUUUCUCUGUGGGAAGAGUAUCAAUGAUGUGUCAUGAACAUCUCAAGUAAGGCUGUGAGGAGGUUUACUGCCUUGCAAAGUGUGUGCUGAAACACUUGUACUUCAUGAGGAGAACUAGUCCUGGGGUUUCUCCCAAGCUUUCUGUGUAAUUCUUAAAGUGUUUUAUCCAAUAAAAACAUCUCACAGGUUGUAAGGGGGAGCCUAGAAUCAGGGGUCUGACUGAUGGCAGAAAGUGAAGGAGUCAAAGUUCAGACACACUGUUAAAUAAUGACAGUCAUUUUAGCUAUGUAAUCCUCAGGACUCGUGGGUCUUUAUUGAGCUGAAUAAAUAUAAAUUUAU